CUUUUAAAAAGUUACUCAGUAUGAUAAGCAUUUCAAGUCACUUAAAUAAAAAAUUAAUUUGCGUUAAACAAUUAGUGUAUUAUAAAACAAAGUCCCCAAAAGUGUAUGUGAUCGAUUCCCUCAAAAUCUACUGAACAGAUUUUCAUGCGGUUUCACCAAUGAAGAGAGGGCUUCAAGAGGAAGGUUUACGGAACGGCUAAGCCAAUUUUGAUGAGAGUUUCACUGGAAGUUUG
rnacentral:misc_RNA from 1 species